CCUCCUUUCUAAGGAUGAAUGAAAGUAAAAUUUCAUUCUAAAUAAUAUACAUCGGUAAUGUUGACCGUCCUCAUUUCUCUUCUUAAGGUAAUGUUUCCUUCUUGUAGGGCCGGUAGCUCAGUUGGUUAGAGCACACCCUUGAUAAGGGUGGGGUCGAAAGUUCGAGUCUUUCUCGGCCCACCAUACUUAACUGGGGGAUUAGCUCAGCUGGGAGAGCGCCUGAUUUGCAUUCAGGAGGUCAGCGGUUCGAUCCCGCUAUCCUCCACCAGGAAACAUUUAGUUAUUAAAAUUGUAAAUAAAAAUAAUUUAUAUCAAUAUCUAUUUCCGAACAUUAAUU
rnacentral:tRNA from 1 species